CCUACGGGAGGCAGCAGUGAGGAAUCUUGGUCAAUGGGCGCUAGCCUGAACCAGCCAAGUAGCGUGAAGGAUGACUGCCCUAUGGGUUGUAAACUUCUUUUAUAUGGGAAUAAAGUGCAGUAUGUAUACUGCUUUGCAUGUACCUUAUGAAUACGGAUCGGCUAACUCCGUGCCAGCAGCCGCGGUAAUCCGGAGGAUCCGAGCGUUAUCCGGAUUUAUUGGGUUUAAAGGGAGCGUAGGCGGGUUGUUAAGUCAGUUGUGAAAGUUUGCGGCUCAACCGUAAAAUUGCAGUUGAUACUGGCAUCCUUGAGUACAGGAGAGGUAGGCGGAAUUCGCGGUGUAGCGGUGAAAUGCUUAGAUAUCACGAAGAACUCCGAUUGCGAAGGCAGCCUGCUGGACUGUAACUGACGCUGAUGCUCGAAAGUGAGGGUAGCAAACAGGAUUAGAUACCCGAGUAGUC
rnacentral:rRNA from 1 species